rnacentral:rRNA from 1 species
GACGUAGGGCGCGAGCGUUAUCCGGAAUUAUUGGGCGUAAAGAGCUCGUAGGCGGUUUGUCGCGUCUGCCGUGAAAGUCCGGGGCUCAACUCCGGAUCUGCGGUGGGUACGGGCAGACUAGAGUGAUGUAGGGGAGACUGGAAUUCCUGGUGUAGCGGUGAAAUGCGCAGAUAUCAGGAGGAACACCGAUGGCGAAGGCAGGUCUCUGGGCAUUAACUGACGCUGAGGAGCGAAAGCAUGGGGAGCGAACAGG